CUGGAGGUAUCAGAAGUGCGAAUGCUGACAUAAGUAACGAUAAAGCGGGUGAAAAGCCCGCUCGCCGGAAGACCAAGGGUUCCUGUCCAACGUUAAUCGGGGCAGGGUGAGUCGACCCCUAAGGCGAGGCCGAAAGGCGUAGUCGAUGGGAAACGGGUUAAUAUUCCCGUACUUGGUGUUACUGCGAAGGGGGGACGGAGAAGGCUAUGUUGGCCGGGCGACGGUUGUCCCGGUUUAAGCGUGUAGGUGUGUGUUCCAGGUAAAUCCGGUUCACUUUAACACUGAGGCGUGAUGACGAGGCACUACGGUGCUGAAGCAACAAAUGCCCUGCUUCCAGGAAAAGCCUCUAAGCAUCAGGUAACAUCAAAUCGUACCC
rnacentral:rRNA from 1 species